rnacentral:misc_RNA from 1 species
GAUGAAGAACGUAGUGAAAUGCGAUAAGUAGUGUGAAUUGCAGAAUUCAGUGAUUCAUCGAAUCUUUGAACGCACAUUGCGCCUUCUAGUAUUCUGGGAGGCAUGCCUGUUUGAGCGUCAUUAAACCUCUCUCAAGUAUGAUUACUUGGAUGUGAAGGAAGAGUACCUUAAACUUAAGGAGUGUUCUCCUUUGAAAUUGAUUAGCAGAUGGUAAUGUUAUUAAAUCCCUGAUGUUGUAAGAAAUAACAGUGGUUUUGUAGACUAUUAUCUAGCUUUAAAUUAUAAUUUUUAUUAUGGUUGACCUCAAAUCAGGUAAGGAUACCCGCUGAACUUAAGCAUAUCAAUAAGCGGAGGA